CACACUUCACAGAAGUUACAUUGCCAGGUGUGACAUCAGCACAGACCAAACAAACGCCGAGCUUUAGGGAGGAGACGCAGGUCAGACUCCUAUGGCACCUGUUUGACAAUCUCUGGACUUUAACACUCGGGAUCUGAGACGGACUCUGUACUGUAGAAGAAGAGCUUAAAAAACAGGACAAAACUGCAAAGAUCUCUUGGGUUACGAAACGCCUCUAACGUUUGUUGGCUUCAGACCGCAGCAAACACCUGCACACUUUCCCAGAACCAGGCUUUCUGCCACCAGCUGACGCGCAUCACAUGCUGU
ensembl:lncRNA